rnacentral:rRNA from 1 species
GAUGGCGACCGGCGCACGGGUGCGUAACGCGUAUCCAACCUGCCCUCUACUCCGGAACAGCCCGUCGAAAGGCGGAUUAAUGCCGGAUGGUGUCAGAUGCCCGCAUGGGCGUGUGACUAAAGGCAACGGUAGAGGAUGGGGAUGCGACUGAUUAGCUAGUUGGCGGGGUAACGGCCCACCAAGGCUACGAUCAGUAGGGGUUCUGAGAGGAAGGUCCCCCACAUUGGAACUGAGACACGGUCCAAACUCC